ACGGGUGAGUAACGCGUAUCCAACCUGCCGUCUACUCUUGGACAGCCUUCUGAAAGGAAGAUUAAUACAAGAUGGCAUCAUGAGUCCACAUGUUCACAUGAUUAAAGGUAUUCCGGUAGACGAUGGGGAUGCGUUCCAUUAGAUAGUAGGCGGGGUAACGGCCCACCUAGUCUUCGAUGGAUAGGGGUUCUGAGAGGAAGGUCCCCCACAUUGGAACUGAGACACGGUCCAA
rnacentral:rRNA from 1 species